CCUACGGGAGGCAGCAGUGAGGAAUAUUGGUCAAUGGACGAGAGUCUGAACCAGCCAAGUAGCGUGAAGGAUGACUGCCCUAUGGGUUGUAAACUUCUUUUAUAUGGGAAUAAAAUGUUCCACGUGUGGGAUUUUGUAUGUACCAUAUGAAUAAGGAUCGGCUAACUCCGUGCCAGCAGCCGCGGUAAUACGGAGGAUCCGAGCGUUAUCCGGAUUUAUUGGGUUUAAAGGGAGCGUAGGUGGAUUGUUAAGUCAGUUGUGAAAGUUUGCGGCUCAACCGUAAAAUUGUAGUUGAAACUGGCAGUCUUGAGUACAGUAGAGGUGGGCGGAAUUCGUUGUGUAGCGGUGAAAUGCUUAGAUAUCACGAAGAACUCCGGUUGCGAAGGCAGUUCACUGGACUGCAACUGACACUGAGGCUCGAAAGUGUGGGUAUCAAACAGGAUUAGAUACCCCUGUAGUC
rnacentral:rRNA from 1 species